rfam:Tupaia chinensis contig86023, whole genome shotgun sequence.
AAGACUAUACUUUCAGGGAUCAUUUCUAUAGUUCGUUACUAGAGAAGUUUCUCUGAUCGUGUAGAGCACCGAAAACCACGAGGAGGAGGCGCAGUGUUCUCUCCUGAGCGUGAAGCCGGCUCUUGGUGUCGCUUUGUUGCGACUGCCUUUUGCCAUUGAUGAUCGUUCUUCCUUCCCGCAAGGGUGGGUAAGAGGGAGAGGACGCAGUCUGAGUGGU